GGAGGUAAGCCUGAGCCAGCCUGCCAGUGCUGUGGGGGCCUGGGUACUUCCAGGUGCACUGCCACAUGGUGGAGGUAGGGGAUGGAACACCAUGUGAAGGUGAGGUGUGUGCACAGGGAUGUACACACAUAUGUGCCUAAAUAAUUAGUUACAAACUUUUUGGUAUUUUUGAAAUUGCAACCUGCCUGAGACCCAAGACCAAAAAGGAUUUGAGAGUGUUUUUGGAGCUGGCUGGCUAUUUUUUGCAGGUUUGUGCCUAAUUAUUUGUCUGUCACCAACCCUCUGACUGAUUUGAUUAAAUUGCAACUUUGAAAUUUGUACACCCUGGAACAUGUUUUCUAAUUUUGCUUAAAAAAAUCUUUUUGUAAUAUAUUAUUUUUUAAAGUCUCUUAAUAGUCAAACUGGCCAUUAAACUUGCAAAAUUUCACCAACAAGCCUUGCUGUUGUUGUUAUUACUAAUUACUAAUGGACUUUAUCAUAAUACAGUUCUGCUUCAUUCUGUAUCAACUCUAUAUAAUUGUAAAUAUAUAUAAAUCCUAGCUGGUCUUUACAUAUCUGUAUACUAUGGUGUGGUCCCUGUAUCAUUUAAAGGUUGUUUUUCUUUCUCUCUUAGCUGAUCACUAAAUGAGCAAUACUGUGAUUACUGUAAUACAGUACAUUAUAAAAAUGUAUACAUUUUCUCUGUACUGUACUGUACCCUUUGAAAGUCACCAAAAUUUCCCCGUAUCAUCAGGGGUUUUUUUUUAUCUUCUUCCUGGAUAUGGUCCCUUUCCACAUUUUCACAUUCAAACAUUUUCGUUUCAUGUAAGAUAGCUUUGAGAUUGCGACUCAAAUAUGUAUAAUGUGUUUUGUCCCCUCACAUUAGAGACAUGUGGUGAACAUUUGGUACAUUGUCCAUUUAGAGCAGUGGUCCCCAACCUUUUUUUGCGCCACGGACCGGUUUAAUGUCGGACAAUAUUUUCACGGACCGGCCUUCAAGGUGUGGCGGAUAAAUACAACAAAAUAAAAUGAUUACGACCGGCAUAAAACUGGUAUUUUCUAAAUAUAAUAAUAAACGUGAAUCCACUGUGUUGUUUUUUGUUCAUUUUGCUAGCGUGGGGGGUUGAAAUUAGCGGUAAUGUACAGUAUUACGUGUUAGCGGCUGGAGCAGCCCCUUUAAGAAGGUAGCGGAUGUUGGUAAGACACGUGACUGAAGUAUCUUGACAUGCAUCAAGAGUGAGUCAUGGACAGAUGUGGCGAAAAGAAUCCGGGAACUUUCCAAAAUAAAACGAAAAUAAUUGGAGCAAACCAAAUACCCUGUUUCCAUAUCAACAUGAGUACAUCCAACUCCCUGAAAACACUACCAGUAAAUCUGUGUUAAGUAUUGGACCAACAGUUUCGAUGUAAGGACUAAUGAUAUCUUCAUACUGGCAGAGUUCACCACCCAGAACAAUGUGCUUAAACAGUCUAAACAGGAACUCCUGACGGUCACAUGCACUGACCACAUGAUAGUUAUCAGAGUCCUC